AGGUUGCUCACCAGGACGAUAUGGAUUUGCAUGUGAAGAAGAGUGCCCAAAAUGUAGAGCUAAUGAACGCUGUAACAUGUUGACUGGUUUCUGUGAUGAAAAUACCAGAUGCAGAGACACAACUACUAUACAGACUUGUGCAGAAACAACAUUGAGUGAGAGAUGUCCUGACAUGAAUAAAUGGCGUUAUUGGAAUAGGCAUUGUUACUAUUUUGUAAGCAGAGCUGAUGCAGAAAAAACAUGGGAAGAAGCAAAUAUUUCCUGCAGUCGGUUUAGAUCUGCUGAACUUCUGUGGAUUGAAGAUCCAGAUGAUCUGAAAUGGAUACAAAAGUUUUUUCGAAAGAAUACAUGGCUAGGACUACAGGACAUAGACUAUGACAAUACUUGGACUUGGUCACAUGGAGACAAUGCAUCAAGGACAUUGGCAUGCAUGUGAUUUUGGAUUCUAUGGACAAGAAUGUGACAUUACAUGCCCACGUUGCCACUGGGACAAACCAUGUCAUCCUGUAACUGGACUAUGUGACAAUCCAAUUAUUUGUGCUGCACCUCAUCAUGUAGGUGUAUGUUCUUUUGGUUUGUACAGUUUGAAAUGUCCCCUGGGUGAUGGAUGGUGGUACUGGCAAAGAAACUGUUACUUAAUAGAAAAAAACAGAAAAGUGACAUGGAAUGAGGCACAAAAGCUGUGUAGACAUUUUAGAGGCACAAGGCUGCUUCACCUAGAAGAUGCUAAUGAAAAGAAGUGGUUAAAAGAAAUGAUAACUGGACAACUGUGGGUAGGAAUCAAAUGGAAUACAGAGACAGGAGAAUGGCGAUGGUCUGAUGGAAAAAAAGUAAACACUAAAAUACCAUGGCUAAAUAUAGAAGGGGGCACACAAGAAAGCUGUGUCACAAUUUGCAAAAAUGAGUCACUACUGCGAUCAGCAAAGUGUAACGAAAAACUUUAUUUCAUUUGUAAAAGACCAGAACAUUUGAACAUAUUCCAGAAAUACCCAGGCUUCAUAAUACCACAAAAGCAAAACACAUUACCCAAAGUUUAUUAUACUUUCAAUGCUGCUCAGGAAGACUGCAUUUUUGAGAAAACUAUCUGUACUGGUAUAGUCUUGUCAGGAGGACAGUACAUUUUGGUUAGUGGAAAGGAAGUAUUUAAAAGCCUUGAAGAACAAAGUGUAUUGUAUCUGAAGUCUAGUAAGUAGCUUAAAAUAACUGUUACAUUGUUCUUUUUUCUAUGUCUAAUGUCCCUGUUCUCUGAAUUCAUGUUAUGAAAAUCAACGUCUAUAAAAGGAGAUAAUUGCAAACAAAAGAACCUGUGAAGGAAUUUGGAAGAGAAAAUUAAGAAUGCUGUAUUUCUCCCAAAUACUUGAUGCCUGUUUAAAACCACAGCAGUAGAAGUACAUUUUUAUAUCAUGUUUCCAAUUAAGUUUCCCAUGGUGGUUCACAGUAAAAUAUCACCUUCUUAGCAAAACCU
rnacentral:lncRNA from 1 species